UACGAAGGGGGCUAGCGUUGCUCGGAAUCACUGGGCGUAAAGCGCACGUAGGCGGCUUUCUAAGUCAGGGGUGAAAGCCCAAGGCUCAACCUUGGAAUUGCCUUUGAUACUGAGGGCCUUGAGACCGGAAGAGGUCGGCGGAACUGCGAGUGUAGAAGUGAAAUUCGUAGAUAUUCGCAAGAACACCAGUGGCGAAGGCGGCCGACUGGUCCGGUUCUGACGCUGAGGCGCGAAAGCGUGGGGAGCAAACAGG
rnacentral:rRNA from 1 species